CUCAGAUUGAACGCUGGCGGAUGCUUACAUGCAAGUCGAACGGCAGCACGGACUUCGGUCUGGUGGCGAGUGGCGAACGGGUGAGUAAUGUAUCGGAACGCCUAGUAGCGGGGGCCAGGCCCUUCGGGGGAAAGCGGGGGGACCUUCGGGCCUCGUGACUAUUAGGAGCGGCCGAUAUCGGAUUAGCUAGUUGGUGGGUAACGGCUCACUAAGGCGACGAUCCGUGGCUGUCGAGAGGACGACCAGCCACACUGGGACUGAGACACGGCCCAGACUCCUACGGAGGCAGCAGUGUGGGGAAUUUUGGACAAUGGGGGAAACUCCUGAUCCAGCCAUCCCGCGUGUGCGAUGAAGGCCUUCGGGUUGUAAAGCACUUGGCAGGAAAGAAAACGGCACGGGAUAAUACCCCGUGCAACUGACGGUACCUGCAGAAUAAGCACCGGCUAACUACGUGCCAGCAGCCGCGGUAAUACGUAGGGUGCAAGCGUUAAUCGGAAUUACUGGGCGUAAGCGUGCGCAGGCGGUUCGGAAAGAAAGAUGUGAAAUCCCAGAGCUUAACUUUGAACUGUAUUUAACUACCGAGCUAGAGUGUGUCAGAGGGAGGUGGAAUUCCGCGUGUAGCAGUGAAAUGCGUAGAUAUGCGGAGGAACACCGAUGGCGAAGGCAGCCUCCUGGGAUAACACUGACGCUCAUGCACGAAAGCGUGGGGAGUAAACAGGAUUAGAUACCCUGGUAGUCCACGCCCUAAACGAUGUCAACUACUGUUGGGGCCUUCGGGCCUGGUGGCGCAGCUAACGCGUGAAGUUGACCGCCUUGGGGAGUACGGUCGCAAGAUUAAAACUCAAAGGAAUUGACGGGGACCCGCACAAGCGGUGGAUGAUGUGGAUUAAUUCGAUGCAACGCGAAAACCUUACCUACCCUUGACAUGUCUGGAAUCCCGAAGAGAUUUGGGAGUGCUCGCAAGAGAACCGGAACACAGGUGCUGCAUGGCUGUCGUCAGCUCGUGUCGUGAGAUGUUGGGUUAAGUCCUGCAACGAGCGUGGGAACCCCUUGUCAUUAGUUGCUACGAAAGGGCACUCUAUCGAGACUGCCGGUGACAAACCGGAGGAAGGUGGGGAUGACGUCAAGUCCUCAUGGCCCUUAUGGGUAGGGCUUCACACGUCAUACAAUGGUCGGGACAGAGGGUCGCCAACCCGCGAGGGGGAGCCAAUCCCAGAAACCCGAUCGUAGUCCGGAUCGCAGUCUGCAACUCGACUGCGUGAAGUCGGAAUCGCUAGUAAUCGCGGAUCAGCAUGUCGCGGUGAAUACGUUCCCGGGUCUUGUACACACCGCCCGUCACACCAUGGGAGUGGGUUUUACCAGAAGUAGUUAGCCUAACCGUAAGGAGGGCGAUUACCACGGUAGGAUUCAUGACUGGGGUGAAGUCGUAACAAGGUAA
rnacentral:rRNA from 1 species